rnacentral:rRNA from 1 species
UACGGAGGGUGCGAGCGUUAUCCGGAAUUACUGGGUUUAAAGGGUGCGUAGGCGGCCCUGUAAGUCAGGAGUGAAAGUUUGCGGCUCAACCGUAAAAUUGCUUUUGAUACUGCGGGGCUAGAAUUAGGAUGAGGUCAGCGGAAUGUGGCAUGUAGCGGUGAAAUGCAUAGAUAUGCCAUAGAACACCGAUUGCGAAGGCAGCUUGCUGGACCUGUAUUGACGCUGAGGCACGAAAGCGUGGGGAGCAAACAGG